CUUUCCAUUGUGUAUCCAAGCAAACCGACGUUGUCUUCGGUUGUUUUUUACCAAAAGCUUGAAUAAGACUAAAGAAAAUAGCAGAAACUUCACGAACGCUCGAUCUGUAGGUGCAUGUAUCUGCUUUUCAUGUAUUUGUACGGGUGAACGGUGUGGUUCCCAGGUUUCUUCAAGCUCUCUCCUCUCCCCUUUCCUCUCACUUUCUUCUUUGUUAAGAUCAGAUCAUUGAUUUUAAGGGUUGAUGCAUGAGUGUACGGUGGAGCUGGGCUUCAUCAUCGCGUGGGCUUCUCUCCUUCAAAGUGCAAAGAAUGCUUUAAAAGCUAUUGUCAGGACUUCCUUCUUUGCUACCUCCCUCAGCGGUCUACUCGAUCAUGGUUCUUUUGUUCUCCAAUAGCCUCUAUUCAAAUCCAUGAUCGUGGCCAAGUAUGGUUUUCUAGGUUUUCCUUUUGAUUAUUCUUCGAUCAUCACCAGGUAUGGUUUUCCAGUCGAUUAGGUCGCUAUAUCUUUCUCUUUUGUUUCGAUUCUAAUCAUUUGGGUAGAGUGAUUAGGGUUACUCUCUAGCUGGGGUCUUCAAUUUACGCAAUUACGCUAGGUGAAAAGGAACUUUUUCAACUAUGUUUGCGUAAUAUGACUUCUCUUCUUAUGAAUUGUUCUGGUGGUGGUUAUAAUGAUGUCGCUUAAGCAUGGAGGGACUCUUUUCAACCGACAAUGCUAUCAAUUAAAACAUAUAUACUUGCUAAUUUCCUUUCCACGAUUGUGUUUACAUUUCAGAAUAUUGAAAUUCUGCUCUUGCUAAUUUCCUAAGCUGGUGGAGCAUACUUCGUGCAUCUUGCAAAUCUGAUGCUUCGAAUGAAUUCUUCUUUUCCUUUCCACAAUUGUGCUUUGAACGUACUUUGGCAGAUCUCAUGUACCGGCCUGUGAACAUGAAGAUCUGUUCAAUUGAAAGCCCGAAUUUAGAUUUGGGUCUUUGAACAUAAAGAUUUGAGGAUCAAACGCUGGAAUCAAUGAUGGUCGAUCUUGGAAGGUUUGGAGGCCUUGGGUUGGCUGUGAAUUUUAUCACCUAUGAGUUCAAAACUGCUGCUUUGAGUUCAAAAUUGUUGAAUAUGGAUUCUGAGUUUUUGGAUGAUCUUUGAGAAAAAAUUGCAACUUCCGAAGGAUAUCGAGUGACAUUUUAUUGGACAUUUGCAGAGCAAUAAAGUGAAAUCUUUAUUAACUGGUGUAGACGAUGAGCAGGAUUUGCCUUUAUUAAUGAAUCUGAUAGCAACGUAAGUAAAAUAAGAAAGGAAUAGUGUAACCCCAAUGAAGAUGGGAUUCUGGCACAGGUAGAAAUAAAGCUCCUUCUUAGGCAUAAGAACCAACGGCGACGAUGUUGAAGCUGAUGAUUUGGAAACUAUGUCCUGACAAUUAGAGGGCAGAAAAGUCCUCCACACAGCAUCAGAAUCUGCAGAUUCCUUCAUAGAACGUGAAACCGUCGACGAUCUGCAAGCGUCCCACGGUGAUGUGUAGGAACAUACGAGAUGCAUACAAGAUGCAUGCAUCUUUGAUACAGGCUGACCUGUGAAUUUUUCCCAUAUUCUACGUAGUGUUCGAUUGUUAUUUAUGAGCUUCUUACACGAAAAUUUGUUGCUCAACAUGUCGUUGUCAUCCGAUUUUAUUUAUGGGCUACUUACACGAAAAUUUAUCACUUUACAUUUGGUUGUCUUCAGGUUUAUUAAAUCUAGGUGCAAAUUGGUUAU